GCGGAUCUCGAAAGCCUGUCCCAGUUCGGACUGGAGUCUGCAACCCGACUCCACGAAGUUGGAUUCGCUAGUAAUCGCGCAUCAGCCAUGGCGCGGUGAAUACGUUCCCGGGCCUUGUACACACCGCCCGUCAAGCCAUGGGAGCCGGGGGGCGCCUGAAGUCCGGGACCGCGAGGACCGGCCUAGGGCGAAACUGGUAACUGGGGCUAAGUCGUAACAAGGUAUC
rnacentral:rRNA from 1 species